rnacentral:misc_RNA from 1 species
CUGCCUUCACCCCACUCACACGAGCACAAAACGGGCACCACUCAACACGAGGUACACGACAUCGGAUUUCUUCCGCUUGUCGUCCACGUGUCCGUAUUCCACCCACGAACAACUCCGCCAACGUAUACGCGCACACAGCCACAGAUCAUCUGCCUGUGCGCCAUGCUUCGCCCUCUCAGGCGCUUCAAGCAGCGGCAUUCCAUAACAUGGAGACGCUCCGCAUUGGGGGUCUGGAGGGCUCGUUGUCAUCAUCUUGCAUUCCCGUCGGUGCCACAGGGUGGCUUGCCUGGAUGGCUUGCCUGCACGCGCACAGUGUGAAGCGAGGCGUGCUUCAUGCGUCGGGCGAUCCGCGAAUCUCGCGUAGCGCACCAGGCACCACGUCGAGUCGGACGCCUUCAUAGCAAACACAGGCGGCUUUGGGAGGCUCUGGCGGGGUGGGGGUACGACCAUGUCAACGCAGCAGCGGGCAGCACGCCACGUGCACCCCAUGCUGCCACGACGAGUCCCCCACCGUUGGAGGAAUCCGAAGUGCGGGCAGGUGGUGCCUGUGCGGGACUGGGCGAACAGGGUCUCCCCUGUCGUCUUGCGAGCUCAGCAGCUGUGCUGUUGUGGUGUGGGACGGCUGCCGCGAAGAACCUCUUGUGUCAGCGCGCCGCAUUGUGUGGCGCGGUUUCGGGGGAUGCCGGCGUGGCGUCGGAGACGGGUGACCGGGUCCGCCAUCCGUGCAGCUGGCGUCGCUGUUUAUGCGGUCUCGACCGCUCCGUCGGUGUGCACCAAGUCAGAGUGGCCACCGACACGCUGAAAUGCGAGGCGCACACGACGGGCCACCGCAGCGCCAGUGAACGUGCCCAGGCCCGUCGCACUGUGCUGUUCUCCACGGUUGCGGGUCCCGUGUCGGGUGCCAUGAGGGAGGAUAGGCGGGGGCCGAUGGGCAAGGUUCGUGUAGCCCUGUGCGUCGAUACUGUUUUGCAUGGGCAUAUCUUUGCCAGUUUCUGCGCAGUCGCGCUUGCCUCUCUCUCUCUCUGCUCCCCGCAUCACUUGGUGCCUAGAAUCCAUCACCGGCACGGGUGACACAUGCGUGCUGCGCAGAGUCCCUCAUGCUUCGCCAAGGGAGGCACACAGACG